GGUCCCGCCGCCCGGGGUAAUUCCAGCUCCAAUAGCGUAUAUUAAGGUGGUUGCAGUUAAAAAGCUCGUAGUUGAAUUUCGGGAUCAAUGCGUUGGUGGGGCAAUUGUAAAGCACUGGCAUGGUUGAUUUCUCCCUUCUGGGGAACCGUCAUGCCCUUUAUUUGGGGGCGUGGGGAAACCGGGCCGUUUCCUUGAAAAAAUU
rnacentral:rRNA from 1 species